rnacentral:rRNA from 1 species
UACGUAGGGGGCAAGCGUUGUCCGGAAUCAUUGGGCGUAAAGAGCGCGUAGGCGGUCCGGUAAGUCCGCUCUGAAAGUCCGGGGCUCAACCCCGGGAGGCGGGCGGAUACUGUCGGGCUAGAGUACGGAAGAGGCGAGUGGAAUUCCUGGUGUAGCGGUGAAAUGCGCAGAUAUCAGGAGGAACACCAAUUGCGAAGGCAGCUCGCUGGGACGUAACUGACGCUGAGACGCGAAAGCGUGGGGAGCAAACAGG